UCGAGCGAAUCUGAGGGAGCUUGCUCCCAAAGAUUAGCGGCGGACGGGUGAGUAACACGUGGGCAACCUGCCUGUAAGACUGGGAUAACUUCGGGAAACCGGAGCUAAUACCGGAUAAUUCAUACUAACUCAUGUUGGUAUGCUAAAAGACGGUUUACGCUGUCACUUACAGAUGGGCCCGCGGCGCAUUAGCUAGUUGGUGAGGUAACGGCUCACCAAGGCAACGAUGCGUAGCCGACCUGAGAGGGUGAUCGGCCACACUGGGACUGAGACACGGCCCAGACUCCUACGGGAGGCAGCAGUAGGGAAUCUUCCGCAAUGGACGAAAGUCUGACGGAGCAACGCCGCGUGAGUGAUGAAGGUUUUCGGAUCGUAAAACUCUGUUGUUAGGGAAGAACAAGUACGAGAGUAACUGCUCGUACCUUGACGGUACCUAACCAGAAAGCCACGGCUAACUACGUGCCAGCAGCCGCGGUAAUACGUAGGUGGCAAGCGUUGUCCGGAAUUAUUGGGCGUAAAGCGCGCGCAGGUGGUCCUUUAAGUCUGAUGUGAAAGCCCACGGCUCAACCGUGGAGGGUCAUUGGAAACUGGGGGACUUGAGUGCAGGAGAGAAAAGUGGAAUUCCACGUGUAGCGGUGAAAUGCGUAGAGAUGUGGAGGAACACCAGUGGCGAAGGCGACUUUUUGGCCUGUAACUGACACUGAGGCGCGAAAGCGUGGGGAGCAAACAGGAUUAGAUACCCUGGUAGUCCACGCCGUA
rnacentral:rRNA from 1 species